rnacentral:rRNA from 1 species
UACAGAGGGUGCGAGCGUUAAUCGGAAUUACUGGGCGUAAAGCGCGCGUAGGCGGUCCUGCAAGUCGGAUGUGAAAUCCCCAGGCUCAACCUGGGAACUGCAUUCGAGACUGCGGGACUGGAGUAUGGGAGAGGGCAGCGGAAUUUCCGGUGUAGCGGUGAAAUGCGUAGAUAUCGGAAGGAACACCAGUGGCGAAAGCGGCUGCCUGGCCCAAUACUGACGCUCAUGUGCGAAAGCGUGGGGAGCAAACAGG